AACUUGAAAUUUAACCGAAGACAGCGGGGGCGCAUGCUUAAUUAACCCGCCGAGGUACAAUAUAUAAAUAUUGGCCUUGCGGUGAGCAGGGCUUUUUAUU
rnacentral:sRNA from 1 species